GCCGAGGCGGCCCGCCGGCCAUGCAGGGUAAAGCGGUACCGUGUGGCGCCCUGGCAGCGCUGUGCAGGGUUAGAAGAGGGCAGUUCUCCCUUGUGCUUUGUUCUAGGUAUUAAAACGCAGUGCAAGACAAGGUGAGAGAAGGUAGCUGUGCUCGCAGAUCAAAGAUGGCACGGUUGCUUUGGGGUAUGCCGUGAAUAAGGUGUGAAGUUUCAGUACAAAUGCGUGUUUAGGGAUGUAUUUGAUGGGCGGUCCAGAAAUUAAAUGGAAGUGGCAGGAGGAAAGCAAUGUGAAGAGAGGACUUGGGAGAGGCUGGAGUCUGGUGGAAAAGGGAUAGUAGUUUAGAGGAUGGAGCAGAAAAGCAGAGUAUGUAGAUGAAUGGCAGAUGGUUCAAAUCAAUUCUUGAUGAGGAAGUCGAGUUUCUGGGGAAUUGCUGUCCCAGAAGGCAAAAAAAUAAAAUCCAUGCUACUGGUAUUGUGCAAGCAUUGCCAAGAGUGUUGGGCGCUGACCUAAGAAAUCAUUUCUCUGUGUGAGCUUUUCCGGUGUUGGUGGUCAGAAUGGACUGAUACAGAGCCUCCAUCAGGACAGGUUCCUAAGUGAACUGCCGGUUGAAAAAAAAAAAGACUGCCCCUGUUGAUAGUAAUUGCCAGUCCUGCAGUUUGUAACACAUUUUGAAAUGCAGUGGCAGUGCCUUUUACCCUGACAACCUUGAGCUAUGCUGCUGCAGUUUUGGGGUCAUUUCCAUAGUCUACGUUCCCCCCCCCCCCCCCAGUAUUUCUUAAUGACAUUUCCAGUGCUAAAUGGUUGUGGAGUUGCCAAUCUAAAUGUUACUUCUCCAUUAUAUUAGGGCUCGUGCUUGAAGAAAGAUGUUCUUUUCUGCAACGGGAAAUCCCAGCUUCAAAUCUGAGACUUUGGCUACGUUUGACAAGUAGAGAUUUUGAGGAGGCGGCAUUCAGUUCGGUGUCAGUGAAGACAACUGUCUACACUUUUCUAGAGGCUUCUGAAAGCAAGGAGACUAGCUCAAAAACCCGUUAUCACACUCUUAUAAAACGGAAAAAAACAAGAGGAGCAAAAGAACAAACUGGGUGCCAUAAUCCAGGUUCACCAGGAGUAAGUGGUGUUAACGUGCCUUCCCCGAUUUACACUGAUUUGCCUAGCACUGAAGAUACUAUCUCUCUACCCACCUGUCUUCCUAGUAAACAGUGUGUCCAACAGGAGAGUCAAGAUAAAAAGACAUACAAAAAAGUAGUUUUUGGUGAUGUCAUGUCCCAGAAUACAGUGAAAGAGGACUUUGACUCAUCUACUAGCUCACAAGAGCCUGUACGUUCAGAAGAAAUCAAUGGAGCAACUUACUCAGCUGGAGACAAGAAGUUAUUUUCUUCUGGUAAUCAGGAUCUGUCAGAAUUAGAGAGCAAAAAAUAUAUGGAGAAAAACCAACAAGAAAGCAAUAGUCAGAUGAGGAGGAUCUUAGAAGUACUGGGUAGUAUAGUGGAGGGACAAAUUAAAAUGCAGGAUACCUUGAAUAAGGUUCAGUUGUGCUUACAGCAAAACAAGAAGGUAGCCACAAGCCUCCUCGGUAUGCCAGAAAAGAGCUGAUGUGCUUCAGCUAGAGAUAAAGGAGCUUGAAUUAAGGUCUGUCAAGGCAUGAUUCUAUACCUAGAGCAAAAAAUAUAUGUAAAAAUUGUGCCUGUAUCCCCAAGAAGUUAUCUAAAGCGAAGCAAAAGAGUAAGUGACUGAAGAAGUAAGAGGGCAUGCUGUUGAUUCAUCUGUUUUCUAUUUCAUCUGGUUGUAGAAAAGCAUUUUGUGUUCCUUGUGCUAAGUUCUGAGAUCCUUUUUCUAAACUGGCCCAUCAAAGGGCGCAGCACUAUUUGUUAGAGUGGUUUACAACUAGGAUUAGUUGUGUGUUUUCUUGAACUCUGAAAAAAGAUAGAGUGGUACUUCUGUGUUCUUAUUUUCUGCCUGGAGUUGCAUUUUGGCUGGAGAAAUUAAAGCAGAAAACCUCAGCACAUAGUGGGCAUGUGUUUGCACAUGGCCACACCAAGAAAAUGCAGAGUAAAUGAAGGUUUAGAAAAAACUGACCUAAUGAGGCCAAGGAAGAGAAAGGGUUUUGCAGGUAGAACAAAGUCUUUCUCUGAAUAUGUCUCAAUACUAGUGCUUCAGAAUAGCAUAUAGAGAUAGGUAGUGACUUUUGACAAUAUGAAGCACCUCCACAGCUCCUGAUCAGCCGUGAGAACCAUGUAUGCAUAAGCAGUUGAGGACAGUUCGUUGGCUUGUCACUUUUGGAUGUUUUCUAAACACUACAGAGACCCUUCUCAUCUCAGGUUGCUGCCCUUGAAGAAGUUUGUCUUUACUUUAGAGUGUCUUUAAUGUGUACUACUUUGCAGCAGUAUUGCUUCAGCAUAAAAGGACUUGGCCUUGUAGGCUUUGCAUCACUUUCAGCACUUCACAGUUGGCUCACUGCCUUCAUUGCUAGGCGCAGUGUGUGUUACUUCAGAGAGCCGGGCCUGCAGAGUACAGUACGGCUAUUUCUGAGCACAACGUAACACUGGUAAAACAUACUGACUGCAGUAUGUAGGAGCAUAUUGACUGCAGAAUGUACUAGCUGUCAGCAUAGCCUGCCAUAGCUCCCGAGUAAUUUAGUUUUUCUCUUGGAGCUCCAGAGAAGUCCUGCCCUUCCCUUUUGUUUUCCAGUGCAUCCAUUCAAGGCAGUUGCGCACAGCAGUUCAUCCAUCAUUGCCAUUCUGUUGUGACUUUCAGAUGUUGGUCCAGCUGUUGCUUUGGAAAGAGUGGCAUUAACAAAUGCAUUGUUACCGCUUGGAAUAGUGCAAGCGUAGUUUGCUCUGUGGAUGAUUUCAGUUGGGCUGGUCCAGUGAUUGAGAUGUUUGAGAUUUCAUUGUUGGAAGGAAUAUGGAAGGCUUUUUACCCUUGUACGUUGUAUUCUGUACUACCAAAUCAAGUUUAACGUUUUGGCAAAAGGACUGUAUCUUAGUUUGGUUACAUGUCUUAUUGAGGGAGUGGUUAUGCCUUUAUUCGGUUAUCAUUCCUCUAGAGUUGGGAGACCCUCUGUUCUUUUUUGCAUUGGCAGUAUGGUGUUUCUUUCAAACAUUUAAAAAUGUAUGUUUUGUGACUUAAAAACUGUUGUCAUAGAUCACUCAUGCAUUGUAUAAUAAACCAGUUGUUCAAAACCUGAUUGAGUUGCUC
rnacentral:lncRNA from 1 species